rnacentral:sRNA from 1 species
UUUUGGACUAGAUAGGACUAGGUGGGCGCUUAUACUUUGGGUUGGGAUGUGUUGAAAAGAAAAAAAGGGUUGAUUCAUUGAUAAGAAAAGGUA